UACGGAGGGUGCAAGCGUUAUCCGGAUUCACUGGGUUUAAAGGGUGCGUAGGUGGGUCUGUAAGUCAGUGGUGAAAUCUCCAAGCUUAACUUGGAAACUGCCGUUGAUACUAUAGACCUUGAAUGCUGUGGAGGUGAGCGGAAUAUGUCAUGUAGCGGUGAAAUGCUUAGAUAUGACAUAGAACACCAAUUGCGAAGGCAGCUUACUACACAAUGAUUGACGCUGAGGCACGAAAGCGUGGGGAUCAAACAGG
rnacentral:rRNA from 1 species